rnacentral:rRNA from 1 species
UACAGAGGGGGGCAAGCGUUAUUCGGAAUUAUUGGGCGUAAAGGGCGCGUAGGCGGCAUGACAAGUGGAUGGGUGAAAUCCCUCGGCUUAACCGAGGAACUGCCAUCCAGACUGUUUUGCUUGAGGCCGGGAGAGGUGAGUGGAAUUCCCAGUGUAGCGGUGAAAUGCGUAGAUAUUGGGAGGAACACCCAGUGGCGAAGG